UGUUCUUUUUUUUUUCAGACUACAACAAGACAUUUUAUUGUAGAAUAAAGCCAAACACAACUGAUUCCAUUGCAACUCGUUUCACACCAACAUUUGCCUAUGGCCCAAACGAAUUGUUUCUGUCCAAAACUAACAUUCGAAUGGAUUUGUGUACAACGACUACAGUCACAUGCAAUGCAGCUAGCAGUAAAGUCAAUCCAAGUGUUAAAUUUCAAUGGUCUGCUGAUGACGCCAUUUCAAUUAUUCCAGUGAUGACAACAUCCAAUUUUUUAUCAACAGUUCAGCUUUCAGCGUUAAGUCCUGGGAAACAUAUUGUAACUUGCAAGGGAUGCAAUUCUAUUUUCCCUAAAAAAUGUUCUGAAAUUGAAGUAGUUGUCGUUAUUAAAGACAACAGUUCUGUACAGCCGAAGAUAACAAUGAACAAGAAACAACGCUUGAACAGUACGUCUGAAUUAUCGGAAAUUGUGAAUGUUACUUGUUCGACGGCUAUAGAAAGUAACCUAACUCUCUUAUGCCUGAACAAAACACUCAGAAACAUAACUUCGGCAAUAACUAUGCUUCAUACAGUCAAGAAAACAGACAAUGGCGCUAUAUGUAGCUGCACAUCCAAUUAUCUCUGUUACAAGAGCCAAACUGAAAAGGCAAAAAUAUUUGUAGCUUGUAAGUUAUAAUUUUCAUACACUUUAAACGAUUAAAUUACAGCUCAGCAUCAGACCAAUAACGAAAACAAAUUCUUAUCCGAUAUUGAUCAAAUCACUGACCUAUAAUAUACAUAACUCAUUUUCAAGUUUUAAGG
rnacentral:sRNA from 1 species